rnacentral:sRNA from 1 species
UGCAUCUGCAGCUCAUGAGGAUGAGAACCUCCGGGGGCAGGGAGGUUCGACUCGAGCGAAGCGAGAGAACGUUGCGCCAGCAACGGCCCGCAGGG